GUGCUCACUUUGGCAGCACAUAUACUAAAAUUGGAAGAUACAAUGGUCCCUGUGCAAGGAUGACAUGCAGAGACUAAGCAUAACAGUCUAUGAAA
rnacentral:snRNA from 1 species